rnacentral:rRNA from 1 species
AUACGUAGGGGGCGAGCGUUAUCCGGAUUCAUUGGGCGUAAAGCGCGCGUAGGCGGCCAGGCCAGUCGGGGGUUCAGUCCCGGGGCCCAACCCCGGGCCGCCCCCGAUACUGCCUGGCUCGAGUCCCGCAGGGGACGGCGGAACUCCCGGUGUAGCGGUGGAAUGCGCAGAUAUCGGGAGGAACACCGGCGGCGAAGGCGGCCGUCUGGGCGGCGACUGACGCUGAGGCGCGAGAGCCGGGGGAGCGAACAGGAUUAGAUACCCUGGUAGUCCCGGCCGUAAACGAUGGGCGCUAGGUGUGGGCACACAGUGUCCGUGCCGAAGCCAACGCAUUAAGCGCCCCGCCUGGGGAGUACGGCCGCAAGGCUAAAACUCAAAUGAAUUGACGGGG